rnacentral:rRNA from 1 species
GCACGGUGGAGCCAAAAGUCAAGAGUUCAUGAUAACCAUACAAACCGGUGGAAAACUGAAUAGUAUCAGCAGUCUUAUUCUGGACUCCUUUUUUGCUUUGACAGCAGUGAAAAACUUGCUUUGGACUGGGUUUGCGUGGUGGAGACUGGAGAGUGUAGAGGAAAGAGACAUGUGUGGGCAUGAUCAAAGUAUUCGCUAUCACAACAUGACAAGUAUGCAGACACUUCAGGCGCUGGCUUGAUCUGAAGCUCGACCCUGAUGAUCUAAAAAGAAAGCCUUGUACACAUCGUCAGUAGCGUCUCUCCGUCCAAAGAAAUCUAGAAUUUCACAACUUGACAAAUCCUCGAGAAGAGAAGAUAAGGAGACGGGAGGAUGGGUCACCUGCUCAGCUUGUGUGGCCGGAGCCGUGCCGCUCAUGAAGGAGUAGAGAUAGCAGAUACAGGCCGCUGGAGCCGAAAGUAUAGCAAACACAAAGAGAUUUUAGGCAUGCCAAAAUGCCACAGGGGCAGAAGAGAAACGAGUAGAGACAAUGGAACACCAUGACAAACAUUCUAUCC